rnacentral:lncRNA from 1 species
GCAGAGGCUGAGGGCCUUGGAACCGGUAGGUGCGGGGAUGGAUUUAAUAGAGCGGUGGUUGCUGGCUGGCUGGCUGCUGCCGCUGCGGUUGGGCUGGGCUGGGACGCCACGUCCGUCGCGUCGCGCGGCGCGGUGGGAUGCUUGCGGCGGUGGGUUACCGCCGGGUUCUACUGCGGCUGCGGUCGCCGGAGGUACGCCUCCUACCUUUAGCAUUUUUAAGACACUUUGACAAUCUGACUCAUUUACUUAGCACACAAAAUAGCAAACAAUAGUGACAUUGUAUGAGAAAAUUAUGACAUAAAACAAAGCUUGCAUUUUGAAUCACUAAAAGUGACAUUUAUAGUACAACACCAAUACAUGGCACUUUGAGUCUCUCAAAUUGAUAUUAUAGUUACAAGGUCACAAAAUGCUAUAGUUACUCCAUAAAAUACUAUAGUAAGUCCUAUCUAGUCCAAAAUACUACCUAACCAACUUGCACAUACUAGCAUCAUCAUAAAUUGGAGCUGUCACGAGUUGGGUGAAAUUGCCAAUAACAUUGUACUCUUCAAUGUCCAUGAUUGCUCCUUUGUUGCUGCCAUCAUUCUCCACUUCCUUUGGAGGUUGUACACCAUCAUCUUGCUUUCGUUUCUGCUAACAAAAGUAUCACUAAUUAGCUAUGAAUGGCAACAACACAUAGAAGAACAUAUCUUUGGUUCAGAUUUAGUUGGCUUACUACGUUUACCAAGCUGUUCUUGUUUCAACUUAAAAUACUUGGUCACAUUAUUUGUUUUCCCUUUUCUUCGAUGACCCUCAUUGAAACAAACAAAUCUAUAUGAAGUUACCUUGCAUCAUAGCUACUUAUAUUUGCAUACCUUUUCCUCACAUCAAAGCCUCUACAACCCCGUAUGCAACCUAAAACUUCCAAGCAUCAUCUGGAUUUCUGAAUCUUAAAUCAACCUGAGGUGUUCCCUUCUCAAAUUCUGCUAUUGUCUUCCACAACACUGACAGUUCCAUAAAUAUGACCCAAAAAUCAACUAGAGCAUAUGAUUUUCCUACCAUGAAAUUGAGCAAAUUAACCUUUCAUAGUCACGGGAUCUCAGAUUGAUACAGAUGUGAAGUGAAUUAGUUGUCUUGUGCACAUGCUUAGGUGCACCUGACAAUGACGUCCUGUCGGUGACCGCAUUCCUCUCCUCCACGACAACCUGACG